rnacentral:rRNA from 1 species
GAAGGGCAAACCGUGGACGGCAUUGUUUGGAAGCACUUGAAUGAUGGGGUCUAUUCGGCGUCCAUCGCCUAUACUACUCAAUUCCUUGGCAUGACCCACUCCUCCAUGGACCACAUGGCUUGAAAAGUUUGGGCCCCUCCAAAAGACAAUUUCUUUGCUUGGUUGGCAUUGCAAGGUUGGAUUUGGACCGCAGAUCGGUUGGAAAGGCGUGGGUGA